rnacentral:lncRNA from 1 species
UAUACUUCUACCUACAGAGUAAUGAAUGGAGAAUUAAUACUCUUCACACCUUUGUAUAUUUUGUUUUCUGGCAGAUACUUGCUGUGGAAAGUCAUUUCCUCACAAAGCUCAUCCAGGAGAGACUGUUACCUUUACCUGCAAAUAUCCAGCAGAAUUUCAACAGUACAAUAAGUACCUGUACAAUGUGACCAAUCACAACUUGAGUACGGUCAUUUUUACUUUUGGAUCAUCAGUACAGAAAGGGAGAUUUUCGAUUUCUGACCAUAAAAACAAAAAACUUUUUAAUGUGAGCAUCAGUAACCUGACUGUGGAGGAUGCAGGAGUUUACCUGUGUGGAGCUCAGAAGAUAUAUACAAAACCUUACUUUUCCCUCUUCAAUGAAAUGCAGCUUCAAGUUGAGCGUAAGUAUCUAUUUUUGUAUUUAUGCUGAUUUUUUAGUCAUUUUUCUUUACAUUUUUACAGUUAUUAAUUAAUUAUAUUUGUUUUCUGCAUGAUUUACACACCAAUCAACAGCAAAAACGCCUGGGCAUUCUAUCCCUUUGUCUUCAGGUUCCUUGGCCGUUGUCAUCGCUGUGAGCGUCUGUGUGAUUCUGCUGGUGAUUGGAGGAGUUGGAGGAGGAGCCCUGAUCUUCUACAAACGAAGACAAACCAAGACACGAGACUCUGCACCUGCUUCUUCAACCAGAAGGAACUCUGUAAAUAGUGAAGAGGUAAGUGAAUAAAAGUUUGUGUAUAUGUGCA